GGCAUGCGGGCCCCUUCACCCAGAAGCUUCUCCCACUAGCAAUCAAAGCAGACCCGGCCUCGUGUAAAAUAACCAAACAGUAACAUCAAAAACACCGGAUCCGUAACAAAUUGAUAUGGGAUCGCAACGAACUCCAAAAAAAUAAUAGCCGUGAUUCUCUCCCUGCCAGCCGAGCACCCUUGUCAUAGUAUUUAUACAUGCCCAUGCACCAAAAAGGCCGUCAAGUAGAGCUAGGGCUCGCCAUUGCCAACAGCAGGAGAGAGAACCAUGAGUGCCAUACCAGGAUCCGAUCCCUGUGAACAGAGAGAAGGGGUAGUCACCACUGAAGAAUUACGAUUGUCAGGUGUUGCCGGGAGGACAAAGUCACCAUGGGCACUUCCUGGCAUUGAUGACUGCAUGCGCGGGCGCCAUCGUCCGGCUGGGUCGUGGACCUGGGCACCGUCGUCCGGCUGGGUCGCGGACCUGGGCGUGCUCGAAGAGAUGUUGAAUCGCUUGGACCUGUGCCUCGCUGCGCACCGCGUUUCGUCGUCGGCCGGCUCCGCCUUCAAACGGAGAAGAACAGGUGGUUCAGGAGGAGCCACAAAGCGAGGAGUUUGAUCUGAUCUAGGUGGCGUUUUCCCAGUUGACUUCUACGCCAAGGACGAUCCUUAUUUCGUUUUAUAUUUAUCUUUUAUUUUGUAAGUCUUCCGCUAUGUAAUAAAUACUCUGAUUAUUGUGACAUUUAUCUCUAUACACUCUGUUAUUAUAU